rnacentral:lncRNA from 1 species
CUUUUUACAGCACUGAGUGUCACAGAAUGUUAGAAAGAAGGCUCAGUAUUUAUAGUUGCUGACAGAAUGAUACAGUGAGAGACUCCUGUUUAAGCAACACAAGUUUGCAGUGAUUCAGGCCUUCUUCUGAAGAGACAGCCUCUUAAUGAGUGAUGAAGGUAAAGAAAAGGAAAACAUCAGGAGGACAAUAUCAUGACAGAAGGACUUCUAGACUCCCUCUCUAUCUCUUAUUGCUGUAUAAGGUAAAUCCUCAGAGAUACCAAAUUACAUGUUAAAGACAGGAUUUAAGGAAAGUGAAAGUUGGAUACAAAAGUAGGAUUCCUGUUACCCUCCCAGAAAGGACACAAAACCCAUUAAAUUAAA